rnacentral:rRNA from 1 species
UACGUAGGUGGCAAGCGUUUGUCCGGAUUUACUGGGCGUAAAGAGCGCGCAGGCGGUCGUGCAAGUCGCGUGUGAAAGCCCCCGGCUCAACUGGGGAGGGUCACGCGAUACUGCUCGACUCGAAGGCAGGAGAGGGAAGUGGAAUUCCCGGUGUAGUGGUGAAAUGCGUAGAUAUCGAGAGGAACACCUGCGGCGAAGGCGGGUUGCUGGGCUGACACUGACGCUGAUGCGCGAAAGCUAGGGGAGCGAACGGG